rnacentral:rRNA from 1 species
UCGAUUAGAUACCCCUGUAGUCCUAGCCGUAAACGAUACUCGCUAGGUGUCGGCCACGGUGCGACCGUGGUCGGUGCCGUAGGGAAGCCGUGAAGCGAGCCACCUGGGAAGUACGGCCGCAAGGCUGAAACUUAAAGGAAUUGGCGGGGGAGCACUACAACGGGUGGAGCUUGCGGUUUAAUUGGAUUCAACGCCGGAAAUCUCACCGGGACCGACAGCGAUAUGAAGGCCAGGCUGAAGACCUUGCCGGAUUAGCUGAGAGGUGGUGCAUGGCA